CGAUCAUUUUGUUACUUUUGGCCUCAGGCCAAUAUUAUUCGCGGAACUAGUUGUGGUUAAGCAAAAUGUUGCCAUCAGAAAUGUUCAUCAACAUAUUUUUCAGGCGUUCGUCCAAAACCUUCUCCUCUCUGGAAUAUCGGGGAAAGAGAAAGACAAAACAAUUUAAUUUGUUCUUACCAGUUAUUACUAGUAACUUUCUUUACGAUUUAAAUUGGUAGUCAACAAGACGCAACGAAGUCAGAAUGAUUCUAAGCCACCACCUAAGAAUUAAUUUAUUCUAUGACCAUCUUUUCAAUAUCGCCAGUCGUUUCUCUGAGGAAUUAGCAUUCUAUGCGUAUGCAUGUAGUCGCAUGUGCGGCUUUGCAGCAGAGUCUUGUUCGCCUUUAGACAGAAACAUCAACGAUGCAGUAAAAUAGUAGUUGGUUAAAUAGUAAUUAAAGGCUGAUAUCAAAAUUUUUUUAUGUUAGAUCGAGAUUUUAGAUCAAUUUCAAGGAUGAACUUCCGUUUUCUGAUGAGCACCUGUUUCUUAGAUAAGAUAAUACUUAUCCGAAUCACGUGCAUCAUUAAGCAACUAAAGAUAUACCUAAUGUUUAACUGUAAUUCAUAUAUUAGCGGAUGACUGCAAUUAAUCGUUGUAUGAUCAACGCGAUAAAAAAGGUUCAAACAAGCUUGAUCCCUCGUUUGCUCUGCAUUUACUCAACUGUAUUUUCCUUUCCAUCAUAUUUGAAUUUUGUUUUCAGUUAGGUACACGGUAGCCAUUAAUUGAACAAAACAUAGAAGGAAUUUGAGAUAUAAAAAUCACUUAAGAGUACAAGAAAGAGGGGAAAAGAGAUCGAAGUCAUAAUAGUCAUCCACGAAUUGCGAAUGAAAAUUACACUUUCUCCGAUAGAAUUUAUCCUACCAAUGACGUCAAUCAGUGGAGAUAAACCAAAGAAGAUGAAAAAUAUAAUAAAUAAUUAUUUUUCAAUGUUAUUACUUUUUCAUAAUUAUCAUUAGCAAUAUGUAUAUAUAACACGAAAUACUAAUCAAAU